rnacentral:rRNA from 1 species
GAUGAACGCUGGCGGCGUGCCUAAUACAUGCAAGUCGAACGAACGUUUCCUCAGCAUGGUUCGCUGAUGUUAGGGACGGACGGGGGAGUAACGGGUGGAUAACCGAGCUAUACCUCUGGGAUAACGUGGGGAAACCCGUGCUAACAGGGGAUAAUAUUUUGUAACGCAUGGUUCCACAUGGAAAAACAGUGUUAGUGUCACUUAUAGGUGGAUCCGCGCUGCAUUAGCUAGUUGGUAAGGUAACGGCUAAGCAAGGCAACGAUGCAUAGCCGACCUGAGAGGGUGAUCGGCCACACUGGAACUGAGACACGGUCCAGACUCCUACGGGAGGCAGCAGUAGGGAAUCUUCGGCAAUGGACGAAAGUCUGACCGAGCAACGCCGCGUGAGUGAAGAAGGUUUUCGGAUCGUAAAACUCUGUUGUUAGAGAAGAACAAGGACGUUAGUAACUGAGCGUCCCCUGACGGUAUCUAACCAGAAAGCCACGGCUAACUACGUG